AGCCCCCUGUAUUCGUGCUGAGAUUUCGUCAGAGAUCAACCCGUUCGGGGUGAUGGUACUUUCCAAAUAAGUGAGGCG
rnacentral:pre_miRNA from 1 species